UGAGGUUCGAAAGCGUGGGUAGCAAACAGGAUUAGAUACCCUGGUAGUCCACGCCGUAAACGAUGUCUACUAGUCGUUGGGUCCCUUGAGGACUUAGUGACGCAGCUAACGCAAUAAGUAGACCGCCUGGGGAGUACGGCCGCAAGGUUAAAACUCAAAUGAAUUGACGGGGGCCCGCACAAGCGGUGGAGCAUGUGGUUUAAUUCGAUGCAACGCGAAGAACCUUACCUGGUCUUGACAUAUCUAGAAUCCUGCAGAGAUGCGGGAGUGCCUUCGGGAAUUAGAAUACAGGUGCUGCAUGGCUGUCGUCAGCUCGUGUCGUGAGAUGUUGGGUUAAGUCCCGCAACGAGCGCAACCCUUGUCCUUAGUUACCAGCGGUUUGGCCGGGAACUCUAAGGAUACUGCCAGUGACAAACUGGAGGAAGGCGGGGACGACGUCAAGUCAUCAUGGCCCUUACGACCAGGGCUACACACGUGCUACAAUGGUAGGUACAGAGGGCAGCUACACAGCGAUGUGAUGCGAAUCUCAAAAAGCCUAUCGUAGUCCAGAUUGGAGUCUGCAACUCGACUCCAUGAAGUANGAAUCGCUAGUAAUCGCGGAUCAGAAUGCCGCGGUGAAUACGUUCCCGGGCCUUGUACACACCGCCCGUCACACCAUGGGAGUUGAUUGCACCAGAAGUGGGU
rnacentral:rRNA from 1 species